AUUGAACGCUGGCGGCAUGCUUUACACAUGCAAGUCGAACGGCAGCACGGGGGCGACCCUGGUGGCGAGUGGCGAACGGGUGAGUAAUAUAUCGGAACGUACCCAAGAGUGGGGAUAACGUAGCGAAAGUUACGCUAAUACCGCAUACGAUCCAAGGAUGAAAGUGGGGAUCGCAAGACCUCAUGCUCCUGGAGCGGCCG
rnacentral:rRNA from 1 species